AACGCCAGGCAUGAAUAUGGAUGAAACUCCUCACUGAGACCACAAGGGUGCCGAGAAUCUUAAGUGACUUGAACACGGUGGCGCAGAAUCUCUUUCCACCCCCUGCCUCCGGCAGGUCUCAGUGGAUGAAGACUGAUGGCACUAAUCCAGCAGUGACCUGGAUCUGUCUCCCUCUGGAAGCUCGCCUGGCCCGGGAGUGAGCCUUGCAUGUCACGUGCCUGUGAGAAAGAACUCAACUCUGGGGGACUGUGUGCCCCCAGAUAAGUAACUUAGCCUCUCUGAGCCAAAGUGUCAUCAUUUGCCUAAAUAGUGAAA